AACUCAGAAUAUUUCCUAUACCUUCCAUUUACAUAGUCUGGUACACGUGUCGAACAUAUGUCUUGAGGUACAAUAUUAAUCCUUUUGAGAAAGAAGGUCGCUGUUCUUCUAGGAGUAUCGUUCACAAUAGCAUCAGGCGUGUAGAGAUUCUUCAUAGCGAUCAGGAAGAGUUGUCGUGAAGAACACUUGUUAACUUGGAAGAUGGAAUUUUAAGGCCUCUAUAACCAUGAAGAUAUGAUUUUACGUCCACUAUGAAAUUGCAAGAGUUUCUUGUGCGAGGAGAACGCCAUCGUUAUACUGCAGACCAACGUUCAAUCUAGCGAUAUCUGUCACGUGACAAAAUUUUGAUUAGAUACUGUGGGGAUGAUAAGCAACUACAGACAGAAUACUGUGCUACGAGUUAUAUAAAGAGAAGAGCUGAGAAAAAUUUCUCCUGUAAUUUCGUCGGCAAUGAACUCUCUUUAGGGCUGGGUCUCCUCUCCUGUAUGUACGCUUCAUUCACACGACGGGGUGUCCGUGGAGAUCGAGAUCGAGGUCGCUACGUGGCCUGGUAUUUCGAUGCAGAUCUGCUCGGACGCUGCUCUAAUGCAGAGUCAUGCCCGAUCAUGUGUUCUUGAACGAUGAAUCCAAAACGAUGGAGUCAUUAGAACGGACUACCUUCGUUGUCCGUUAGGUUCGUUCUGCUUCUGAACUAGAUCGUUGCGUGACAAGAUUUUUCAACCGUAUUAUCAUGCACACGUUUCUUGUUAUCGAUGUGACGAUUGGUGAAAGCAUUGUUCGUAAACGUGUUUUGUUUCACGUAUUAUCGUUAAUGACUUGAUUAAUAAUCUAUCUUUGUUUUUAACGGGUUAAGGAUAAAUAUAUGAUUUAUCUCAUAGAAUGUUUCAAGUUUAUAUGUAGGACCAAGCAAACUUUGCUAAGUUUAACUUAUAGUGAUUUCUACAUGUUAUGGAUGUAGAGAAAGUUUGGAUUCAAUUUGGGAAAUGGUCAUUAGAAUGCAUGUCUUAAUACAUCACCCGGAAACGACUUUGAGGGUGGACUUCGAAAAGCUUUUCCCUUGUUGGUAGGAAGCCAGAGCAUCAGCUGAAUUUUGGCACCGUGCCACUUCCUCUGAAUGUGUGUUAUUGUUGUACCAGGUUUCACGACGCAGCUUUUGAUUAAUAUACCCAGUGCACCAAGAUAAGUGGUCUUCGAAAUAACGUUAUAAUUAAUAGUUUCUUACGAUGAUAGAAGAUUUGUCUCGUUUUCUUAACAAAAUGCAUGUUUGCCUGCUUCCUUCGUCGUAAAAUAAAACGGGGAGCUAGGUAAUUUAAUGCAAAGAGUCAUUUUAAUAAUCUAUAGAAUAUUUAAUUUCAUUCUCAGAGACCUUUCAUAAUAAGGACGGAAAGAUUUAAUAAUGAACCAUCUUUUAUAACUGCUCGAUUAUAAAUUAUUAUAGUGCCAUUUCAUACGAGGUUGUUGAAUCUUUUAUUUUUUAAAAAUCGAUCAAACAAAUUGAUCUUGAAAUUAACUUUGAAAUUAACUUAAAAAAGUGUACAAAUUUUUAUAAAUUCUUGAUACACCCAGUAUAUGGUGCAUCUGGUAAGCAUUGGGCUCGCGUUUUACUUUUGGAGUAUAUUGUUAUUUGUUGUAUCAAAGUAGAAAAGAGUAUUCUUCGGAAAAGCGGCAGGCAGAGAGAGAGAGAGAGUUGUCGGUUAGAAAUUUCGGAACAAGAGAAGCAUAGGCGCGUAAAGUGGAGUAGCUGUACGUUCACCGACAGAGAGAAGGAUAAAUUGCGCCACGAUGACUGUUACCUCCGUGCUGUAUCGUGCGCGCACGAUAUACGACUAACUGCGGUGACCCGCAUGCUUGAAUCACCGGUUUAUUUUCAACCGACUGAUAUACAUGUUGGCUACUAUUGUUUGGAAGCUAAACGAUGCACUAUUGUAUAGUUUUCUGGAAUGUUGUUAUGUAUUAGUUACGUCAAUGAUUAAAGGCACAUGAUCGAUUUGUCAUCGAUCGAUGAUUGGAUUAUCUAGAAAAUAAUUUGAAAAAAUAUAUAUAUGCUACUAAAAACUAUGUACAUAUUGAUAUGAUAAGUAUUAUGAUAUAAGCAAAUUAUAAAAUUGUUUUUAUGAUUCAUGA